GUGUCUUCCUCCUCUCUCAAAUAAAAGCCUCUGGAGCCAAUAAAACCUUUAAAAAAGAAUCAAAAGAUGCAGAACCAAGUUUCAUCUCCAGUUAUGAAAAAUCUUAAUCCCUGUAGAUUCCAUAAAUAAUCCAUAAAAACUUAACAGUUUAAAAUAAAAUGAACUGUAAUGAUAAAGGAAGAACAGACUGAGACACUUUGAGCAGACAUGUCAGAGCCUGAUCACAGGUUCCAGCUCUGUGUUGUGGCUGCAGCAGGUUAAGAUAAUCUGUAAUCUGAUCAGAUUACAGAAGCUUUUCUAGAAAAACAGAGUUCAGAUGUUUCCUGCAGCUCUCAGACUCAGUGGUGUGAGAAGAACACAGUGAAUAUUUACUGAAUUAUAACAAUCAGACGAUCUUAUUGAUAUGUUUCAUAUUUACAUGAAAAGCAGACAGUCAUGAUGGCGUCAGGAUGAGGAUCUGAUUCUGACCCCUUUGGCUUCCUGUAGUUUACAGUCUGAGGUCUGAUGUUGCUCAGACCGAUCAGCUGUGUGUCUGAUGGACGAUGAGGCGAAGAUGAGGAUGAUGAGGGUCUUCAGUAGACCAGUCCGGUGGUCUGAUAUCAGACUCUGAGCCGAUCAGCUGCUGCUGGACGUCCCUCCAUCCAACACAACAUCUGAGGCUUUAUGACACAAUGUGACACUUUGGGGCCUUUUAUUGUCCAGCUGCUGCUCAUUUGGUCUGGUCACCCAGUGGACAUGUCCCACAAUGCACUGGGAAAAACUCACUGAGUAUUAAUGCUGACUGACAGCAGGCUGGACUAAAAUUAUAGAAACAUUACAAAAUAUCAGCAAAUGUUCAUUUACAGUCGUUAACUCCACAUGGCAACAAUAUCUGACAUAUUUAUAUUUUUGUUCAGGGCAUUAAAAU